rnacentral:rRNA from 1 species
UAAUACGGAGGGUGCAAGCGUUAUCCGGAUUCACUGGGUUUAAAGGGUGCGUAGGUGGACUGGUAAGUCCGUGGUGAAAUCCCCAAGCUUAACUUGGGAACUGCCGUGGAUACUAUCAGUCUUGAAUACUGUGGAGGUAAGCGGAAUAUGUCAUGUAGCGGUGAAAUGCUUAGAUAUGACAUAGAACACCGAUAGCGAAGGCAGCUUGCUACACAGUCAUUGACACUGAGGCACGAAAGCGUGGGGAGCAAACAGGAUUAGAUACCCUGGUAGUCCACGCCCUAAACGAUGAUUACUCGACAUACGCGAUACACUGUGUGUGUCUGAGCGAAAGCAUUAAGUAAUCCACCUGGGAAGUACGACCGCAAGGUUG